rnacentral:rRNA from 1 species
GACGGGUGAGUAGCACGUAGGUGAUCUACCCCAGAGACGGGGAUAACGGACGGAAACGUCCGCUAAUACCGGUUGACCUUGUCAGGUCAAAGCGACAAGGAAAGGCUCCGGCGCUCUGGGAGGAGCCUGCGGCCCAUCAGCUAGUUGGCGGGGUAAAGGCCCACCAAGGCGAAGACGGGUAGGGGGUGUGAGAGCAUGGCCCCCCACAAUGGGACUGAAACACGGCCCAUACUCCUACGGGAGGCAGCAGCAGGGAAUAUUGCACAAUGGACGGAAGUCUGAUGCAGCGACGCCGCGUGGAUGAUGAAGGCCCUCGGGUUGUAAAAUCCUUUACAAGGGGACGAGGAAGGACGGUACCCUUGGAACAAGUGUCGGCUAACUACGUGCCAGCAGCCGCGGUAAGACGUAGGACACAAGCGUUAUCCGGAUUUACUGGGCGUAAAGCGUCUGCAGGCGGACAGGUAAGUUGGGCGUGAAAGCUCCGGGCCCAACCCGGAGAGGUCGUUCAAUACUGCGUGUCUAGAGGGUGUCAGAGGGGAGUGGAAUUUCCGGAGUAGCGGUAAAAUGCGCAGAGAUCGGAAAGAACACCAAUGGCGAAGGCAGCUCCCUGGGGCAUACCUGACGCUAAGAGACGAAAGCUAGGGGAGCGAACAGGAUUAGAGACCCUGGUAGUCCUAGCCCUAAACGAUGGAUGCUGGAUGUGGGGCCAUAGCGCUCCGUGUCGAAGCGAACGCGUUAAGCAUCCCGCCUGGGGACUACGGCCGCAAGGUUAAAACUCAAACGAAUUGACGGGACCCCGCACAAGCAGCGGAGCGUGUGGUUUAAUUCGAUGCUACACGAAGAACCUUACCUGGGUUUGACAUCUAGGUGGUAGCGAAGUGAAAGCGGAGCGACCCUUCGGGGAGCCUAGACAGGUGCUGCAUGGCUGUCGUCAGCUCGUGCCGUGAGGUGUCGGGUUAAGUCCCGUAACGAGCGCAACCCUUGCCCUCCGUUAUACGUGUCAGAGGGGACUGCCGGCGGUAAGCCGGAGGAAGGUGGGGACGACGUCAAGUCAGCAUGGCCUUUAUAUCCAG